rnacentral:rRNA from 1 species
ACGAACGCUGGCGGCGUGCCUAAUACAUGCAAGUAGAACGCUGAAGAGAGGAGCUUGCUCUUCUUGGAUGAGUUGCGAACGGGUGAGUAACGCGUAGGUAACCUGCCUUGUAGCGGGGGAUAACUAUUGGAAACGAUAGCUAAUACCGCAUAACAAUGGAUGACACAUGUCAUUUAUUUGAAAGGGGCAAUUGCUCCACUACAAGAUGGACCUGCGUUGUAUUAGCUAGUAGGUGAGGUAAUGGCUCACCUAGGCGACGAUACAUAGCCGACCUGAGAGGGUGAUCGGCCACACUGGGACUGAGACACGGCCCAGACUCCUACGGGAGGCAGCAGUAGGGAAUCUUCGGCAAUGGGGGCAACCCUGACCGAGCAACGCCGCGUGAGUGAAGAAGGUUUUCGGAUCGUAAAGCUCUGUUGUAAGUCAAGAACGGGUGUGAGAGUGGAAAGUUCACACUGUGACGGUAGCUUACCAGAAAGGGACGGCUAACUACGUGCCAGCAGCCGCGGUAAUACGUAGGUCCCGAGCGUUGUCCGGAUUUAUUGGGAGUAAAGCGAGCGCAGGCGGUUUGAUAAGUCUGAAGUUAAAGGCUGUGGCUCAACCAUAGUUCGCUUUGGAAACUGUCAAACUUGAGUGCAGAAGGGGAGAGUGGAAUUCCAUGUGUAGCGGUGAAAUGCGUAGAUAUAUGGAGGAACACCGGUGGCGAAAGCGGCUCUCUGGUCUGUAACUGACGCUGAGGCUCGAAAGCGUGGGGAGCGAACAGGAUUAGAUACCCUGGUAGUCCACGCCGUAAACGAUGAGUGCUAGGUGUUGGAUCCUUUCCGGGAUUCAGUGCCGCAGCUAACGCAUUAAGCACUCCGCCUGGGGAGUACGACCGCAAGGUUGAAACUCAAAGGAAUUGACGGGGGCCCGCACAAGCGGUGGAGCAUGUGGUUUAAUUCGAAGCAACGCGAAGAACCUUACCAGGUCUUGACAUCCCGAUGCUAUUUCUAGAGAUAGAAAGUUACUUCGGUACAUCGGUGACAGGUGGUGCAUGGUUGUCGUCAGCUCGUGUCGUGAGAUGUUGGGUUAAGUCCCGCAACGAGCGCAACCCCUAUUGUUAGUUGCCAUCAUUCAGUUGGGCACUCUAGCGAGACUGCCGGUAAUAAACCGGAGGAAGGUGGGGAUGACGUCAAAUCAUCAUGCCCCUUAUGACCUGGGCUACACACGUGCUACAAUGGUUGGUACAACGAGUUGCGAGUCGGUGACGGCGAGCUAAUCUCUUAAAGCCAAUCUCAGUUCGGAUUGUAGGCUGCAACUCGCCUACAUGAAGUCGGAAUCGCUAGUAAUCGCGGAUCAGCACGCCGCGGUGAAUACGUUCCCGGGCCUUGUACACACCGCCCGUCACACCACGAGAGUUUGUAACACCCGAAGUCGGUGAGGUAACCUUUUGGAGCCAGCCGCCUAAGGUGGGACAGAUGAUUGGGGUG